GCUUGUCUCAAAGAUUAAGCCAUGCAUGUCUAAGUGUAAAUAAGUCUAUACUGUGAAACUGCGAAUGGCUCAUUAAAUCAGUUAUCGUUUAUUUGAUGAUCUCUUACUACUUGGAUAACCGUAGUAAUUCUAGAGCUAAUACAUGCACAAAAUCCCGACUUACGAAGGGAUGUAUUUAUUAGAUACAAACCAACAUCGUGGUGAUUCAUAAUAACUUUGCGAAUCGUAUGCCUCACGGCGACGAUGAAUCAUUCAAAUUUCUGCCCUAUCAACUUUCGAUGUUUGGGUAUUGGCCAAACAUGGUUGCAACGGGUAACGGAGGGUUAGGGCUCGACCCCGGAGAAGGAGCCUGAGAAACGGCUACUACAUCCAAGGAAGGCAGCAGG
rnacentral:rRNA from 1 species